GACGACGCUGGCGGCGUGCCUAACACAUGCAAGUCGAGCGGAGAUAGGCGGAAGGUAACUGAAGCUUAUCUUAGCGGCGGACGGGUGAGUAACACGUGGGCAACCUGCCUUGAAGUGGGGGAUAACACCGGGAAAUCGGUGCUAAUACCGCAUAACAUACACAAACUGCAUGGUGAGUGUAUCAAAGGAGCAAUCCGCUUUAAGAUGGGCCCGCGGCUGAUUAGCUAGUUGGUAAGGUAACGGCUUACCAAGGCGACGAUCAGUAGCCGACCUGAGAGGGUGACCGGCCACACUGGAACUGAGACACGGUCCAGACUCCUACGGGAGGCAGCAGUGGGGAAUAUUGCACAAUGGGCGCAAGCCUGAUGCAGCGACGCCGCGUGAGUGAAGAAGUAUUUCGGUAUGUAAAGCUCUAUCAGCAGGGAAGAAAGGCCCUUUUAGGGAGAUGACGGUACCUGACUAAGAAGCCCCGGCUAACUACGUG
rnacentral:rRNA from 1 species